GGGGCAUUAGCACAGUUGGGAGUGCGCUACGCUGGCAGCGUAGAGGUCACCGGUUCGAGCCCGGUAUGCUCCA
rnacentral:tRNA from 1 species